CGCGUAGGCGGCCAAUUAAGUCAAAUGUGAAAUCCCUGAGCUUAACUUAGGAAUUGCAUUCGAUACUGGUUAGCUAGAGUAUGGGAGAGGAUGGUAGAAUUCCAGGUGUAGCGGUGAAAUGCGUAGAGAUCUGGAGGAAUACCGAUGGCGAAGGCAGCCAUCUGGCCUAAUACUGACACUGAGGUGCGAAAGCAUGGGGAGCAAACAGGAUUCGAUACCCUCGUA
rnacentral:rRNA from 1 species